ACAUGCCUACAACAUAGUGUUAAUGAACCAGAUCCCAUUAGAACUUUGCAGUCAAGCAUGCUCAAGCUAGAGUAGUACUGGGAUGGGUGAUCGCCUAGGAAGUCCUAGUGUUUUACAUGCC
rfam:Picea glauca, whole genome shotgun sequence.